AGAGUUUGAUCCUGGCUCAGAACGAACGUUGGCGGCGUGGAUUAGGCAUGCAAGUCGAACGCGAACAUCGGACUUCGGUCUGGUAAGUAGAGUGGCGAACGGGUGAGUAACGCGUGGGCAAUCUACCCUCAAGUGGGGAAUAACCAUUCUAACGAGUGGCUAAUUCCGCAUGAGUCCAUACCCUCGCAUGGGGGAAUGGGGAAAGGCGGGGAUCUUCGGACCCGCCGCUUGAGGAGGAGCCCGCGUCCCAUUAGCUUGUUGGAGGGGUAACGGCCCACCAAGGCGACGAUGGGUAGCCGAUCUGAGAGGAUGACCGGCCACACUGGGACUGAGAUACGGCCCAGACUCCUACGGGAGGCAGCAGUCGAGAGGCUUCGGCAAUGGGGGAAACCCUGACCGAGCGACGCCGCGUGCGGGAAGACAGCUUUCGGGUUGUAAACCGCUGUCAGGAGGGAAGAAACCUCAUGGGUUAAUACCCCAUGGGCUGACGGUACCUCCAAAGGAAGCUCCGGCUAACUCCGUGCCAGCAGCCGCGGUAAUACGGGGGGAGCGAACGUUGUUCGGAUUUACUGGGCGUAAAGGGCGUGUAGGCGGCUUUGCAAGUCAGGGGUGAAAUGUCUCGGCUCAACCGAGGACCUGCCUUUGAAACUGCAGAGCUUGAGGCCGUGAGAGGAGACUGGAAUUCCUAGUGUAGCGGUGAAAUGCAUAGAUAUUAGGAAGAACACCAGUGGCGAAAGCGAGUCUCUGGCACGGGUUCUGACGCUGAGGCGCGAAAGCCAGGGGAGCGAACGGGAUUAGAUACCCCGGUAGUCCUGGCCGUAAACGAUGGGUACUAAAUGUCGGCCGAUCGACCCGG
rnacentral:rRNA from 1 species